rnacentral:rRNA from 1 species
UACGGAGGGUGCGAGCGUUGUCCGGAAUCACUGGGCGUAAAGGGCGCGUAGGUGGCGCGGGCAGUCAACGGUGAAAGUUCGGGGCUCAACCCUGAAUCGGCCGUCGAUACUCCCGAGCCUGGAGCACUGUAGAGGCUCGAUGAAUUCCGGGGAUGUAGCGGUGGAAUGCGUAGAGAUCCGGAAGAACACCGGUGGCGAAGGCGGUUCUCUGGGCCUUACCUGACACUGAGGAGCGAAAGCGUGGGGAGCGAACAGG